UUGGUUCGAACCUUGCAGCAGACGACCCGUGAACAUGUAACCACAACGGGGUGACCGUGAUAAGGGCCUCGGUCCUUAUCCCCUAACCCUUCCCGACGUGAGUUCGUGGUGUCUUUUUUGGGGCAUCAUGGAUUCCGUUGGACCAUAACAAAACCCCGGCACGGUAUGUGCCAAGGAAAACAAAAAUGAGAAGGACACUACCUGUUUCGCCCCGUUUGCGGUGUGCGUACAGGUCGUGGCCUCCUUGGAAUCACAAACGACUCUCGGCAACGGAUAUCUCGGCUCACGCAUCGAUGAAGAACGUAGCAAAAUGCGAUACUUGGUGUGAAUUGCAGAAUCCCGUGAACCAUCGAGUUUUUGAACGCAAGUUGCGCCCGAAGCCAUCCGGCUGAGGGCACGCCUGCCUGGGCGUCACGCAUCGCGUCGCUCCCCACCAUACCUCCCCAACGGGUUGGCAUGGUGUUGGGGGCGGAUAAUGGCCUCCCGUGCUUGUGUUUCGGUUGGCCUAAAUAAGAGUUCCCUUCGGCGGACACACGACUAGUGGUGGUUGAAUAGACCCUCGUCUUUUGUUGCGUGUCGUGAGCUGUAAGGGUAGCCCUCAUCAAAGACCCCAUUGUAUCGUCUUCGGAUGAUGCUUCGACCGCGACCCCAGGUCAGGCGGGACUACCCGCUGAGUUUAAGCAUAUCAAUAAGCGGAGGAAAAA
rnacentral:rRNA from 1 species